rnacentral:rRNA from 1 species
GAACGCUGGCGGCGUGCUUAAUACAUGCAAGUCAACUUGACUUUAGAUAGCAAUAUCGAAAAGUAGGGUGGCGCACGGGUGCGUAACGCGUAGGUAAUCUGCCCUGAGGUCUGACAUAACCCGUCGAAAGGCGGGCUAACAUCAGAUGAUAUAUAAUCACGACAUCGUGGAAAUAUCAAAUCUUCGGAGCCUUGGGAUGAGCCUGCGUCUGAUUAGGUAGUUGGCGGAGUAAUAGCCCACCAAGCCUACGAUCAGUAGCUGGUCUGAGAGGAUGAUCAGCCACACUGGAACUGAGACACGGUCCAGACUCCUACGGGAGGCAGCAGUAAGGAAUAUUGCUCAAUGGGGGAAACCCUGAAGCAGCAACGCCGCGUGAAGGAUGAAAUACUUUUGUAUGUAAACUUCUGUAAGAUGGGAAAAAUAUUCUCCUCGGGAGAAUUGAUUGUACCAUCAGAGUAAGCCCCGGCUAACUACGUG